CGGAUUAGUGGCGAACGGGUGAGUAAUACGUGAGUAACCUGCCCUUGACUCUGGGAUAAGCCUGGGAAACUGGGUCUAAUACUGGAUACUACCGUCCACCGCAUGGUGGGUGGUGGAAAGGGUUUUACUGGUUUUGGAUGGGCUCACGGCCUAUCAGCUUGUUGGUGGGGUAAUGGCUCACCAAGGCGACGACGGGUAGCCGGCCUGAGAGGGUGACCGGCCACACUGGGACUGAGACACGGCCCAGACUCCUACGGGAGGCAGCAGUGGGGAAUAUUGCACAAUGGGCGGAAGCCUGAUGCAGCGACGCCGCGUGAGGGAUGACGGCCUUCGGGUUGUAAACCUCUUUCAGUAGGGAAGAAGCGAGAGUGACGGUACCUGCAGAAGAAGCGCCGGCUAACUACGUGCCAGCAGCCGCGGUAAUACGUAGGGCGCAAGCGUUGUCCGGAAUUAUUGGGCGUAAAGAGCUCGUAGGCGGUUUGUCGCGUCUGCUGUGAAAGCCCGGGGCUCAACCCCGGGUCUGCAGUGGGUACGGGCAGACUAGAGUGCAGUAGGGGAGACUGGAAUUCCUGGUGUAGCGGUGAAAUGCGCAGAUAUCAGGAGGAACACCGAUGGCGAAGGCAGGUCUCUGGGCUGUUACUGACGCUGAGGAGCGAAAGCAUGGGGAGCGAACAGGAUUAGAUACCCUGGUAGUCCAUGCCGUAAACGUUGGGCACUAGGUGUGGGGGACAUUCCACGUUUUCCGCGCCGUAGCUAACGCAUUAAGUGCCCCGCCUGGGGAGUACGGCCGCAAGGCUAAAACUCAAAGGAAUUGACGGGGGCCCGCACAAGCGGCGGAGCAUGCGGAUUAAUUCGAUGCAACGCGAAGAACCUUACCAAGGCUUGACAUUCACCGGACCGCCCCAGAGAUGGGGUUUCCCUUCGGGGCUGGUGGACAGGUGGUGCAUGGUUGUCGUCAGCUCGUGUCGUGAGAUGUUGGGUUAAGUCCCGCAACGAGCGCAACCCUCGUUCUAUGUUGCCAGCACGUGAUGGUGGGGACUCAUAGGAGACUGCCGGGGUCAACUCGGAGGAAGGUGGGGAUGACGUCAAAUCAUCAUGCCCCUUAUGUCUUGGGCUUCACGCAUGCUACAAUGGCCGGUACAAAGGGUUGCGAUACUGUGAGGUGGAGCUAAUCCCAAAAAGCCGGUCUCAGUUCGGAUUGAGGUCUGCAACUCGACCUCAUGAAGUCGGAGUCGCUAGUAAUCGCAGAUCAGCAACGCUGCGGUGAAUACGUUCCCGGGCCUUGUACACACCGCCCGUCAAGGCACGAAAGUUGGUAACACCCGAAGCCGGUGGCCUAACC
rnacentral:rRNA from 1 species